rnacentral:rRNA from 1 species
GACGAACGCUGGCGGCGUGCUUAACACAUGCAAGUCGAACGGAAAGGCCCUGCUUUUGUGGGGUGCUCGAGUGGCGAACGGGUGAGUAACACGUGAGUAACCUGCCCUUGACUUUGGGAUAACUUCAGGAAACUGGGGCUAAUACCGGAUAGGAGCUCCUGCUGCAUGGUGGGGGUUGGAAAGUUUCGGCGGUUGGGGAUGGACUCGCGGCUUAUCAGCUUGUUGGUUGGGUAGUGGCUUACCAAGGGUUUGACGGGUAGCCGGCCUGGGAGGGUGACCGGCCACAUUGGGACUGCGAUACGGACCAGACUGCUACGGGAGGCAGCAGUGGGGAAUAUUGCACAAUGGGCGGAAGCCUGAUGCAGCAACGCCGCGUGCGGGAUGACGGCCUUCGGGUUGUAAACCGCUUUCGCCUGUGACGAAGCGUGAGUGACGGUAAUGGGUAAAGAAGCACCGGCUAACUACGUG